GAUGAACGCUAGCGGCAGGCUUAACACAUGCAAGUCGAGGGGUAUAGUUCUUCGGAGCUAGAGACCGGCGCACGGGUGCGUAACGCGUAUGCAAUCUGCCUUCCACAGAGGGAUAGCCCAGAGAAAUUUGGAUUAAUAGCUCAUAGCAUCAUGUUCCGGCAUCGGAAUAUGAUUAAUGUCACAACGGUGGAAGAUGAGCAUGCGUCCCAUUAGCUAGUUGGUAAGGUAACGGCUUACCAAGGCGACGAUGGGUAGGGGUCCUGAGAGGGAGAUCCCCCACACUGGUACUGAGACACGGACCAGACUCCUACGGGAGGCAGCAGUGAGGAAUAUUGGUCAAUGGGCGCAAGCCUGAACCAGCCAUGCCGCGUGCAGGAUGACGGUCCUAUGGAUUGUAAACUGCUUUUGUACGGGAAGAAACACUCCCUCGUGAGGGAGCUUGACGGUACCGUAAGAAUAAGGAUCGGCUAACUCCGUGCCAGCCGCCGCCGUAA
rnacentral:rRNA from 1 species